UUUUUUUUUUUUUGGUACUUUUAGUAGAGACUGACUUUUGCCAUGUUGGCCAAGCUGGUCUUGAACUCCUGACUGCAAGUGAUCCACUUGCCUUGGCCUCCCAAAGUUCUGGGAUUACAGGUGUGAGCCACCACGCCCGGCCUGUGUGCCUUUAUUUUUAAGGUGGGUUCUUGUAGAUGACAUGAGCAGCAGCCCCCCGUUUUGCUUCCACAGUUUCAGGUAUUGAUGGUUUCAGCUCUCUGAGGCCAACCAUGGUCCAAAAAUAUUAAAUGGAACUUUUCAGAAAUAAAAACUCAUAAAUUGAAAUGGUGUGCCAUUCUGCAUAGUGCAAUGGGAUUUUGUACCAUCCCAUUCUGUCCUGCCCAGGACAUGACUUACUCCUCUGUCCAGGGUUUCCAGUCUGCACACUACUCACCCACUAGUCCCUGAGUAGCCAUCUCAGCUAUCAGAUACAAAAACAAACAAACAACAACAACAACAAAACCACGUAACAUAAGGUAAGUCCUCCCUUAUAGUAAAAUAGAAAUUUGUAAAGUCUAUGACAAUCCUACAAAUGCAUGACAGCAAAGAUUGUGAUAGGAAGCGCUCAGCGAGCUGCUUUAUCUGUGAUGGUUUGUGAGCCACCAUGCAGCUCAUAAACCUAUCAGGUGAUAGGUUCUUGGAAACUGUAAUUUUAACCCAAACAAAGCAGAACAAAACCAAUUUUACAACUUGAUUUUUAACAAGAGUUAAGUUCCAGUGGUGUAUUUCUGGUCACAAACACUUCAUCAAACUUCUAAAUGAAGACCCAGAAUACUUCUAGUAUUAAACAUUGAAAUAAAUUUAAGCUAUACAUACAUUUAAGAAAGAUUAAUGAAAACAAGCAGGAUGACUAUCUAAUUGUUGGUGAGUUGGUGAGUGGCGGUGGUCGUGUGCUGGUGGGUUAAACCAAAGAACAAAUGUUUGCAAAGGGAAAAUCGUAAGAGGCACCUCCUGUCCCCACACAGCUCACAAACCAGCAGAGACACGGCGGCUCGCCGACUGUUUUCCCUCCACGUCCUUUACUGCCACACGUUUGUAUAAUUAUCGUAGACUUUACAAAUUUUUAUUUUACAAUAAUUUGUAUUCAUUCAUUCAUUCAUUUUCCAGCAUGCUUAUUCCAGGUGAGAGCACAGGAAGGAACCAGCCCUGAACAGCUCGCCCUCCUCACCAGGUGACCCCCACACACCCUCACUCACUCACACCAGACCCAUGUAGAUGCACCAACUCACUGAGCGUGCACAUCUGUGGGAGGUGGGAGAAAGCCGGAGCACCUGGAAAAAACCCUCGCAGACAAGAGGAGAACAUGCGAGUUCCACACACACAGAGGAGAAGACAGGGAAUCAAUGUUCUUUUUCUCUUCAACAUUAUAACAAGACAGCAUUGGACAAAAAGAUGUUGUUUGAGGAUCUGCUGUGCAUGACAUGCUGGAAAAGGCAUAACUACGGGGCUAGUACAGAAAUCAAUAGUUGCUAAGGGCUGAUGGGGAGGGAGGGAUGAAGAGGGGUCGCACGGAAGGUCUGGGGGCCCCAGAUGAGGCUGCAGUGCUGGAUUCAGUCCACGCACCUUGUCAGAGCCCACAUCACUGUGACAGCAAGCCCUGCUGUGACACUCAGGCAUAGAGUGAGCCCUACUGUGAACCAGGGGCGUUGGGCCAUAAUGAUGCGUAGAUGUUUGCUCAUCAGUUCCACCAAAUACACCUUCUCAUGGGAUGAGUCGAUAAUGGGGGAGCCUAUGCAUUUG
ensembl:lncRNA